rnacentral:rRNA from 1 species
GUGGGGAAUAUUGGACAAUGGGCGAAAGCCUGAUCCAGCCAUGCCGCGUGUGUGAAGAAGGUCUUCGGAUUGUAAAGCACUUUAAGUUGGGAGGAAGGGCAGUAAGUUAAUACCUUGCUGUUUUGACGUUACCGACAGAAUAAGCACCGGCUAACUUCGUGCCAGCAGCCGCGGUAAUACGAAGGGUGCAAGCGUUAAUCGGAAUUACUGGGCGUAAAGCGCGCGUAGGUGGUUUUGUAAGUUGGAGGUGAAAUCCCCGGGCUCAACCUGGGAACUGCCUCAAAAACUGCAUGACUAGAGUACGGUAGAGGGUAGUGGAAUUUCCUGUGUAGCGGUGAAAUGCGUAGAUAUAGGAAGGAACACCAGUGGCGAAGGCGACUACCUGGACUGAUACUGACACUGAGGUGCGAAAGCGUGGGGAGCAAACAGGAUUAGAUACCCCAGUAGUCC